CCAGGUAUGUGAGAGCAAGAAGAUCUAUGUACAGCCUCAAGGGAUUGAGACCAGAGUGGCAUCACAUUUCAGCUGGAGUGACUUUUUACACAGCACAGGUGCAUAGUACGUGGGAAAAACUGUGAACUUGGCGUUCCAUCACUAAUGUCACCAACCACACGAAGAUAUAUUUGUCACAUCUGCCUGCUCUUCAACUUUAAACCAAUUGUGGUUUGGAAAUACAUGAUUCGUCAAAUAGACGUCAUUCAUAAAUUCAGCAUAUUAUUAUGAAAAACGGCUUUUUGGAAAAGCACAUUUUAUUAUGA